rnacentral:rRNA from 2 species
AAANAAGAGAACGCUGGCGGCGUGCCUAAACAUGCAAGUCGGACGCGAAAACUCCUUCGGGAGUGAGUAGAGUGGCGCACGGGUGAGUAACGCGUAGGUAAUCUACCUCUGGAUUGGGGAUAACUCUGCGAAAGUGGAGCUAAUACCGAAUGGUCUGGCUUUAUUUCGAUGAAGUCGGUAAAGGAUGCCUCUGCAUAUGCAUCUGUCCAGAGAUGAGCCUGCGUCCCAUUAGCUAGUUGGUAGGGUAAAGGCCUACCAAGGCGACGAUGGGUAGCUGGUCUGAGAGGAUGAUCAGCCACACUGGAACUGGAACACGGUCCAGACUCCUACGGGAGGCAGCAGUGGGGAAUAUUGGGCAAUGGGCGCAAGCCUGACCCAGCAACGCCGUGUGAGGGAUGAAGGCCUUCGGGUCGUAAACCUCUGUCAGAAGGGAAGAACGGGCACAGUUCGAAUAGGGCUGUGUUUUGACGGUACCUUCAGAGGAAGCACCGGCUAACUCCGUGCCAGCAGCCGCGGUAAUACGGAGGGUGCGAGCGUUAUUCGGAAUCACUGGGCGUAAAGGGCGCGUAGGCGGCCUGGUAAGUCAGGGGUGAAAUCCCACGGCUCAACCGUGGAAUUGCCUUUGAAACUGCUGGGCUUGGAUCCUGGAGAGGGUGGCGGAAUUCCUGGUGUAGGAGUGAAAUCCGUAGAUAUCAGGAGGAACACCGGUGGCGAAGGCGGCCGCCUGGACAGGUAUCGACGCUGAGGCGCGAAAGUGUGGGGAGCAAACAGGAUUAGAUACCCUGGUAGUCCACACCGUANACGAUGGAUACUAGGUGUUGGGGGCAUGACCCUCAGUGCCGGAGCUAACGCGUU